rnacentral:rRNA from 1 species
UUCCUACGGGGGGCAGCAGUGAGGAAUAUUGGUCAAUGGGCGGGAGCCUGAACCAGCCAAGCCGCGUGAAGGAAGAAGGCGCCAAGCGUCGUAAACUUCUUUUGUCGGGGAACAAAGGGCGCCACGUGUGGCGUUGUGAGUGUACCCGAAGAAAAAGCAUCGGCUAACUCCGUGCCAGCAGCCGCGGUAAUACGGAGGAUGCGAGCGUUAUCCGGAUUUAUUGGGUUUAAAGGGUGCGCAGGCGGCACGGCAAGCCGGCGGUCAAAUCGCGGGGCUCAACCCCGCCCAGCCGUCGCAACUGCCGG